UAUUCUGCCCCACGGGGAAGGAUGAGAAGCUUCGACUAAGGUUCGACUCGAGCGAAGCGAGAGAACGUUGCCGUAGGCAACGGCCCGAAGGGCGAAGCGCUUUAGCGCCGAGUAAUCCUUCCCCCACCACUG
rnacentral:sRNA from 2 species